GCUCCACCCACAAUAUGGCUGCCUCCAGUGUACAGGCAACGGUAUACUUUGAAAGAAAAACUGCUACUCUUUAACAUACCGUUUCUUUUUUCAUUCCUGUUAAGGAAUGUGAACGAUUUUAAUGAUCCAUCUCAACUGUGCAGCUAUACAAAAAAUCCAGCAUUCUUGAAUGACAUGCCUGGAACGCCCAAGAGAUCCGUUUCUUAAGCCUUGAAGUCAAUCCUUCUGAUUUACCCUGGACAUUCUGACCUACUUAGAGAGCAUGGAUGUGUGAUUUCAUGGAAGAAUAUUGCUUGCUCAGGCCAGGUUUCCCCUGGUUCCUGCAAUCAAUACCUGAAUUUAUACCAUCAGGCUGUGCGGCGUGAAGCUUUCCUUUGCCAAACCAGACCCAGUUUUUCGUGGAGUCAUCACAGGAAUGGUGGGAGAGAAAAUGUAUCAUGUGUGGAACCAAAGCACUCUUGAAUAAAGUCAUAGUUACCCGUA